AUGGCUGUCGUCAGCUCGUGUCGUGAGAUGUUGGGGUUAAGUCCCCGGCAACCGAGCGCAACCCUUAUCCAUUAGUUGCUACGCAAGGGCACGUCUAAUGAGACUGCCGGUGACAAACCGGAGGAAGGUGGGGAGUGACGUCAAGUCCUCAUGGCCCUUAUGGUAGGGCUUCACACGUCAUACAAUGGUCGGUACAGAGGGUUGCCAAGCCGCGAGGUGGAGCCAAUCCCACAAAGCCGAUCGUAGUCCGGAUUGUUCUCUGCAACUCGAGAGCAUGAAGUCGGAAUCGCUAGUAAUCGCAGGUCAGCAUACUGCGGUGAAUACGUUCCCGGGUCUU
rnacentral:rRNA from 1 species